GUGCUCGCUCUGGCGACACAUCUAUUAAAAUCAGAACGAUACCAAGAUUAGCCUGGUCCCAUUGCAAGGAUGACACACGAAUUUGUGAAAUGUUCCGUAUUAGA